AGAGCAUGAUGAGAGCAUUCAGUCCUUGUGUGUUCUAUUCUAUCUCCUAAGAAGUGUUGUGAGCAUUGCAUACUCAAUUCCGAAGUCCAGCUUUCCGAAUGGCAGUGUCCUGAUAAAACUCAGCAGACAGUUUUUCUUGCCUAAUGCAGAGCUUUCUCCUGUUCAGUGUGAUAUCUUUUGCUGAAUACAUCCAUUUCCAAACAGACUCCUUUUUUCCUGAAAGGUCAAGCUUUCAUUUGCUGUUUUUGUUCCAUUCACUGAGUGACCACAUGAGUGUCCUGAUGUUUCUCAGCAUCAUACAUCUAUUGUUUUGUGAGAGGUUUUUGUUAUUCUUUUGUCUCUGCAGUUGGCACUACAGUGCUGAAAUGAGUGGGAGUUUUGCCACUAAAUCAGAAACAGAUCCUCAAAACAAGUCGACACUGCACUUAAAAAAGUGUUCUUUAUGAAUAGAUGUAAGCAAGGUGAGCCACUGUCACAGAAAGCACUGGAGCAUGGACACUUCUCACAUCAUGUACAAGAAGCCAGAACAGAUGUGCAGGAUUCCUCAGGUGCCUAAAAUUGCUGUCAUGGCUCUGCACUCACCAAAAAAUUGCUGGCAUUGUUCUUGACCUCCUUGCUUCCCCUGCAAACCACAGACUACCUUUCAGCAGAUGUUUCAGGAAGCAAAUUGAUGUUUUCUCCAGUAUCUGAAGAUGGGAAGUCUCAACUCUUCUAGAGACUCAAGGCUUCAAGGCCUGGUUUGCAGCCAGCCCUCACACAGGAACCUUUUGCCUUUCCUAAUGAAACAUAAAUGAAUAUUCAUCCAAGUGUCUCUUUUGCAAGCUCUGUGACACUGAUGGAAUCAUGAGAUAACUCCACCAGAAGAAAGGAUCUGUGUACCCUUGCCAUGAGAGCUGCAUUGGUGCAGAGUGCAAAGCAAUGGCCUGGGUUUACAGAGCUGUUAGACACUAGAAUCUGCCAGUUCUGUUUCCUGCUCCAUCAGAAUACCAUGAGGAUGCUCCAUAAAAAUCACAAACUGUGACAGAGGCAGCAAUGAUCGACAGAUGAGACAUUUCUUUUCCAAAAAAUUUGCUGGCAUGAUGCCAUGAAAAAGAAAUUCUUUCUGCAAGAGAUGUCCCAGGAGAGGCUGCAUCAAAUGACACUAGAAUGCAGACACUUUUCUGAGGAUGAACGGCUAGCAUCCGAAAAUCCUUAUAUAUGUCACUUCCAGACAUGCACUCUCUCUUUUGCAAUGUCCACAGGUUAUCUAAGGCCAUAAGUAAGGCCAUUCUAUAGUUGAGUUUUAUCCUUGCCUCUUUGGCCAGGGAUAAGCAAUAGAUGGAUAGCCCACAGUGCUCAGAAAGCCAUGCAGUUGUACACAGAUAUAUCAUUUUUUUCAAAGCAGUUGCUAUUUUCUUUCCAGCCUCCACUAUUCCAUAUUAAUUUUAGGAUCAUCUGAUCACAAAAACAUUCCCUGCACUUUAUGCAUGAGACAAUGACCUCAUUCUGCUGUCUGGUUAUCAUCUAGCUGGUAGGUUUGUCUGAUCUCAUGUAAUCAUUUGCACUGUUUCCUACUGAAGGCUUGAUAAUGAGAAGCCUCAAACCAUGUUUUCUAUUUUGCAAGAGAAUGUGAACCUUAGGGGUACAAGAAAUGUAAUAAUGCUUAUGCUGAUUUACUUAGACAAAAAUCAGUUUAAAACCAUACAAAAAUCAGGAAGUUUACAAGUUUUGUCUGAUGGGAAGUUCUGCUGUCCCCAGCCAGAGCCAAGGAGUCCUAGAGAAACCUGCAUGUUCUGAAAUAUGGCAGUGUACUGCUCAGCAUGAGUUCAGCAUAAUGCAACAGCCAAUCCCAUCCAGCAUGCCAGGACUCCUCAAAGUCACAGUUUCUCGCUUCUUCUAUUCAUAUAGUCAUAAAAGAAGAUUUUAAACAUUAAAAUAUAAAUUCUGUGAACUAACUUGUCAAGAAAAGUUGGUCCUUUGGGUAUCUUCUACCACCUAGUCCUCUAUACAGUAAUGGAUGGUGAGAAUUUGGGGCUCAAACUUGCUCCUUCCCUUGCAAUAAGGACAGGGUAGUGGUGGGUUCCCAGGAUGCAGCAUCCCACUGGUCUCAUUCUGCUUUUUCUGAUCCUCCCUAUGGUAUUUACCCCAGGACUGCUGGUAUGGGGUUUUAAUGCUGAUGUUCCGCUCUUAUCAAAGAAAGUAGCUGUAGUUAAACCCUACACUACACCGGAUCCUUUCUGCUGCUUGUCAGGUCUAAAGAUCAUCAGGUGUCUGUUAGUCUGAAAUUGUUUUCCACUGAUGUGUUUGUCUCAAACUUUUUGCAAUUACAACCCUGCUGCCUUUCAAUAAAACCUCAUUUGAUACUGACAGCUCCUCCUUAAAGUGACAGCAGGGAGUGGGAGCACACUAACCCUGACACUCUGAUGUAAUGGCAUUAUUUACUUCUGAACAGUGACUGGUAAUAGCUGUCUAAUACAUGUACUGUCAGCUUCUUAUUUGAAGUCUGAUUAGGUACAACAGUCCAGACUUUGCUUCUCUCCAUUUCAGUCAAUUUUUGCAAACCUUACUUUAGAGGAUGAGAAUAGCUCUGUAUCCUUAAGGGAGGAAUCUUCCUGACUCUUUCUGAUAAUGGGAGUGUUAACAACCAGCAUGAAUCUCUUCUAGUAAGAUGUUUUGCAUCACUGGAUGAAAAACAAAUCUUCCUCUUGGGGAUUCAGUAUUGACAUGAUUUGAACAGGGGGAAGGAAGUGAAAAUAGAGCCCUCACCAUCUCUUUGAUGCUGACUGAGAAUGAAUAAUUUUUGCUCCUACCAGGAGAUUCAAACAAGAGUUUGACUGUGCCACAUCAGUCUUGGUUGUGCAGUGUCAUAGAUCAUGGUCCCCAAUCACACCUAGGCACAGACAGAGCCAGUGCUGUACUGUUGUUGUAGUAAUCUUUCAUUAACGUUUGCCAGCUGCAUUUGCUAUUCUAUUUCUCUUUCUUCUACACUUCCCUAACCCCCAAAACAGUGCUAAAACAAACAGCUUAUUUAAACUCAUUUCUUGCUAGUAAGGAAGAAAUCACGUGUUUUUAAGUGCCUGGAUCUGGCUAUUUAGUUUUUCCAGGAUCCUAGAGAAGUGUGGUUAUGUUUUACAGGUCUUGCUAAGACUAGCCAGUCCCUGGCAAUAAGAUUAAACAAAUAAAGUCACUCUAUGAAGAUGAAGAAAUGAAUUUUCAGUUUAGAGUUCCAGCCAACUGUGGAUACAGAGAUCUUUCUCAGCAUCUCUUGAAACAUGAAUUUAGACUCAUCAGUACCUAGACUGAGGGAAGAAGUGAACUGUGACUGAAUGUACUUGAUAUCUGAGGGCUGACGCAAAUAAAUAAUUAAGCAUUACUAUUUCUA